GACGAACGCUGGCGGCGUGCUUAACACAUGCAAGUCGAACGAAAAGGCCCGGCUUUUGUGUUCUGCUCGUGUUGGGAGCGGACGAGUAAGUAAUGCGUAACCUGCCCUUCCCUUUGAGGGAGCUUCCGGAAGCUAGGGAUAAUACAUACUACAAGCUCCUUCUGCAUGGCGGGGGGUGGAGAGGUUCGGCGGUUGGGGCUGGUAUCGCGGCAUAUCAGCUGGUUGGUGGGGUAGUGGCGUACCAAGGAUUUGAAGGGGAGCCGGCCUGAGAGGGUGACCGGCCCCAUUGGGCCUGAGAUACGACCCGGACUCCUACGGGCGGAAGCAGUGGGGAACAGUGCACGAUGGGCGGAAGCCGGAUUCAGCAACGCCGCGUGCGGGAUGACUGCCUUCGGGUUGUAAACCGCUUCCGGCGAUGAGUAAGAGGGAGUGACGGUAAUGGGUAAAAAAGCACCGGCUAACUACGUG
rnacentral:rRNA from 1 species